GCUCGUUCGGGGAGGACGGAGCCAGCCCCCGCUGGGAGAAGUAACUCUGUUCCAGCCACAUAACAGGAGGCAGCAGUAGUGAUUGUUGUCCAUCGGGGCUACCAUGAUACAAGCAAUGCCGCGUGAGGAAGACGACAUCGGGUGUAAGCUCUUUGACCAGUCAAGAAAAAGUCGUGGCUGAUAAGCACGGCUCAUGACGGUACGUGAAGUAUAGCACGGCUAACUACGUGCCAGCAGCCGCGGUAAUACGUAGGGUGCAAGCGUUAAUCGGAAUUACUGGGCGUAAAGCGUGCGCAGGCGGUUUGUAAGUCUGUUGUGAAAUCCCCGGGCUUAAACCUAGGAGUGGCACUGGAGACUGCAAGGCUAGAGUUUGGCAGAGGGGGGUAGAAUUCCACGUGUAGCAGUGAAAUGCGUAGAGAUGUGGAGGAACACCGAUGGCGAAGGCAGCCGCCUGGGUCAAGACUGACGCUCAUGCACGAAAGCGUGGGGAGCAAACAGGAUUAGAUACCCUGGUAGUCCACGCCCUAAACGAUGUCUACUAGUUGUUGGGUCUUAAUUGACUUAGUAACGCAGCUAACGCGCGAAGUAGACCGCCUGGGGAGUACGGUCGCAAGAUUAAAACUCAAAGGAAUUGACGGGGACCCGCACAAGCGGUGGAUGAUGUGGAUUAAUUCGAUGCAACGCGAAAAACCUUACCUACCCUUGACAUGUCAGGAACCUCGGAGAGAUCUGAGGGUGCCCGAAAGGGAACCUGAACACAGGUGCUGCAUGGCUGUCGUCAGCUCGUGUCGUGAGAUGUUGGGUUAAGUCCCGCAACGAGCGCAACCCUUGUCAUUAGUUGCUACGAAAGAGCACUCUAAUGAGACUGCCGGUGACAAACCGGAGGAAGGUGGGGAUGACGUCAAGUCCUCAUGGCCCUUAUGGGUAGGACUUCACACGUCAUACAAUGGUACAUACAGAGGGCCGCCAACCCGCGAGGGGGAGCUAAUCCCAGAAAGUGUAUCGUAGUCCGGAUUGUAGUCUGCAACCCGACUGCAUGAAGUUGGAAUCGCUAGUAAUCGCGGAUCAGCAUGUCGCGGUGAAUACGUUCCCGGGUCUUGUACGCACCGCCCGUCACACCAUGGGAGCGGGUUUUACCAGAAGUAGGUAGCUUAACCGCAAGGAGGGCGCUUACCACGGUUAGAUUCUAAGGGG
rnacentral:rRNA from 1 species